CUGAGGCACAGUUAGAAAUGCACCAAGCAAAACCUGUUUGGCCAUUGGUAUCUCAUAUUGGUUGUGAAUAACAUAAAACUUUUACUGCUGUUAACAAUUAUGGACAAUAGAAGGUUACUUUACUAUUAGGCACUCUCCAGCUUUUUUCUUCAGAGAAAACAAUAAAAGGGUUGAAGGAGCUAGAGAGAUUAAUUUAUUAGGGAAUAAAAAAAAGACUUAUGUAUGUGCAGCUUGGCUAAAUAAUGAUUAAGGGAGCAACAUUAACACUGCAAAAUGCUGCUUAGCAAACAAUCCUGUAAGGGCAAAUUGUGGGUCCAGAUUAGUUGUGUUGCAGUUGUGUUUAGUGGACCCUGCUAUGUUAUCUGCAACACAAGCUUAGAGUAGGAAACAGUUCCUGGAUAUCUCACAGCGAGAACAAGGAGAAGGAGGACAUAUCCUGCAACAGACUCACACAACAAGGGGGUAACUAAACCAGCAGUAGAAGUCCAGAAUUUUAUUCAAGACAUCUCAGUUUAGCAGUUUCACUGGCAAUUUCUCUGCAAAACACACCUCUGUUUCUGAUUCAAUUGCCAAAACAAGAUUAUUAUUUCAGAGAUGUGGUCUGGUUCUCAUUGUGUUGGGCUUAGACCCAUAACAUGUGUAAAGAAUCCUGCAACACUCCUCAGCAAAAGGUAAAAUUAGCCAUCCAACUAACAAGUUACAGAUACUAUUAGAUGAGAAACAUGCUCAUUAUCCAUGCUAAUCAACUCCUGAAGUAAGUAGUAAAAUACAACUAAUGGAGAUCCAUUUAUGUGUUGUUAUAGGUUUUCAUGGCAAAGCAUUUUAGAAGUGAAAGCGUUUUUAUUUGUGGGCCUACAACCCUUUGCACCUCUCUUUCUCAAUGCUUACAUACAUGAACUUUAAGCUGGUUUGAGCACCUCACCUUCCAGUUGUUCUGAUUCACAUAAAAUUAAGCUUGCUGUGCUCAUCCCAGAAUCUCCUGUUGAAUCCAGUCCCAUCUGCACUUCAAGCAUGGCUCAUUACCAUGGUGAAACUUCCAACAUAGCCAAAAGCUCUUUCCUUCUGGCCCUUUCACAGUCAGGAGCCGUUGUCUGCAGAAGAAAGUUUAGGUCUGGAGCACUGUCAAGAUAGCCACAAUGCCAACAGGACUCACUGUGCCAAAGGGGGAGCAGCCCUUGGUAUCCACCGCUGUAGGCACCGUACAAUGCCUUGGGUGUCCCAGAAGAUCAGAACCAAAAAGGAAAGAUUUGACAGUUACAUAUUUACCUGUGUGUUAAUAGGUGACACAGGAACAAGCACAUUAUCUGAAACAACCCUUUCCAUGCACAUUCUCUUUGCCAACACAGGCAAGCUUAGAGUUUUAAGUUUUUGUCCUUGCAAUUAGGCUUUAUUGUUCCCAAAGAUAUAUGUUAUAACCUUUCCUAAAGAAGAGGGCUUGACUGCUGUUAAUCUGAAAAUAAUGUUUUCAUAGUGCAGAAAACUCAGAAGUAAUUUCUGUUCAGAAUAGAAAGAAUAGUUUAAUUCUCUGUUAGACAGAUGUGUAGAGAGCCUUAGAGUAAACACUAGUACCAUCUGGAUGACAUGUCACCCUUCCCAGAUGGAAAAUUGCUACUUAAUACUGGCUAUGGGAAGAGUUGUGUAAAAAUGCCAUAGAAUUUCAGAUUUUAAAUGUUGGAAAAUUCAUUUAAACUACCAAUAACUACUUCAUCAUUUCUUGGAGUCUGAAGGAAAAAAAACCUCUAAGAAAAUCAGCAGAUCUUACUGCUAAAUUAAAACAGGACUCUACAUUCAGAAGUUUUCAAUUCAUGCGGAACAUUUUCUUUCUUUUAAAUGCACUAAGUGUGAAUACUGAAGAAAGCUCCAGCUUGUGGAUUUUUUCUUCUGGCAGGUACCUUGAUUACUGCCUCUCAUUUUUUUCUGGGAAAAAAAAACCCAACCAACCAACCAACCAAAACAAAAAAAAAACCCCAAAAAACCACAAAAAACCAAACCAAACCAAAACAAACUAAAAAAACCCCAAACCAAACCAACCAACCAACCAACCAACCAAAAAAAAAAAAAAAAAAAAAAAAAAAAAGAAAAGGGGCAGGGGGGGAAAAUGAUAUUGCAUAAGAAUGAUAUCUAGAUAAAAUCUAUUAUUUCCUAGAAGGUAGUGUUUUGAGAUUAGUUCAGAUCUAGAUUUCAAACUGCUCCUAGAGAAUUGUGUAUGUUAUUUAACAGUGGCUUUAGAGGAGAGAACACCUAUAUUCCUCUAUCCACUCUUUUUUCUGUGUUGAAUUAAACUUAUUUUUAACUUAUCAUGGAAAUAAAUAGAGAUCAUUCAGAGGAGUUUAGAAACUGUGUUCAAAGGCCUAUACAGAAAGAAUAAAUAUUUUGCUUCUGACCAUGAUGUUGACACUGUCAACACCUACAGUGGAUAUUAAAGUAUUUUCCUAGCCCUUCCCAAAACUAACACCCAGAGAGGCAGAGUUUCUAGGAACUUCAGUCCAGACAUCAUUCUCUGAAUCCAGAUUAAUUUCUCUGAAAUACAAGAGGACACUCUUAUAGUAGCAUUGAGUGAAAUUAAGCUCUUGCGAUGCUGUGAACGAGAGUCCUCAGGUGCUCCUUGGCUUCAAGGCACAGUGCUGUUUACAGCACCUCUCAUUUCCAAGGAUGGAAACACUCAUUGUGUAAACAUGUCGAUUAUGCAGUGAGGCUCCAGAGUGUGCCUAAGGACAGCAGCUCCUUCCUCCCCUCUCCCCAUGUCCUGCAGUCCAGCAGAGUAUGCAACUUGUUCCUGCUCCUUGCUCCCCCAUCCCUCCCACACUCUGUGCUGCUCCUUCUGCCACCCUCCAAAGCUGGAAUGUCUUCCUGCAAAUACAUCUAAGGCAGCCUGAUCUAUAACCCUGGCAACCCUUUUUACUUUGUCAGAACAGAAGAGCACCCCUAAAUAAUUCUUCCUUUACUCUCUAAAGGAAAUGGUGCUGAAAAAAGCACAUCUAUACCUUGGAAAGUCUACCACUUGUGGAGAAGGAAAUAUUCACUGACAUUCCAGGCCAUCCAGCUGGCUGGUUUCGAGCUACUGGCAGAAAUCUUUCUCUCAGUGUCUGUGCUCACCACCAAGAUGACACUAACUUCUUCUGCAAGCCAUGCUGAAAUGCUAAAAUAUGUAAUAAUAGAAAGAGAGCUCACAUUGGCUUUUCUUUUAGGAAGACAUGAAGGUGUAUAUUAAAAUCAAAUGAUCUAAGGAAUUUUGCUGGUAAACAGUAGUUAUAUCAUAAAAGAAAGAAAUACAAUCAGAAUGCAUCAGACAAUUUAAGCGGGUCCAUGCUGAAUGUUGACUAGUAGGGCACAAUGAAUGCUAAUUUUCCUUUCUAACUUCUGCUGCAGAUUUGCUAAAUUUAAAAGUCUCUCAACUACAAUAAUAACAGUUAUGCAAUUCCAAACUGACCCCAAGGCAAACUCAGAUCCUGACUGAAAAGCUGUGUCACAUUCUCUAUUUUGUUUAUUCUCAUAUAGAUUCUGCAGGAUAAAUUUCUUUUGUUACAUCUAUACAGUCAUGUUGCCAUCAGGGAGAUACCCUGAUCUGUAUGUGGUCAAUUAUUGAUUUGCAUGAUGAUUGGUGAAAGAGCUGGUAAAUAAUUUGCUACACUGUUUUUCCCAAGAAUUACAGUAUUUCAACAUCCACCCAUGAGUACUUCUAUUGUUCAUAAUGAUGACUGAAUUACAAUUUUGUCCACUGUUCCUGUAAUACAUAUCAAUCUGAAUAAUAAGUUACUUUUGUUAGAAUUACUGCAUUUAAUUCACAAUAGCUGAAACAACAGCUGAAGUUCUGUCUCCAUUUGUUCACAUUUCAGAAUACCAUGGAGCUGAUCAUGCUUGCCAAAAAUGCCCUGAAUUCAGUGUGGAAGUAUCUGGAUUGAAGGACAAGGUUUUCUGGAGACACAAAUCUUUGAGGACAUGGUGUUUGACUCAGCUGGCUGAACCCUCAUCCAUGAGCUGAUGUACAGUCCUUUCCCCUCAGAGCAAUUGCAUCAUCACUUCAGAGCACGGAAAAGAAUUUUCUUUCAGCUCUCUGAGCUGCCCAUGAGUACAAGUGGAACAUCUGCAGCCUCUGACGUUGUAACCAUGAGGUUUUGUUGUGUACUGAAGAAAUAGAUGCACCUCAUGCUGGUCAAACUGUGACAAGCUGAAUCCCAGCAAGAUUCCAGGAAGAAUUUUUUCUUUGGUUUGGUUGAUGGAGCAUUUCAGUUUCUUGCUUUGAUAUUACUUUGGAAAUUCUUUUCACUGGAGGAAGGAGUUAUAUCUGAAAUAAGGACACUUUUUCACUAAACCUC